ACUGUAAUGUUACAAGGGAGAAGAGGAAACGUCACUGAAGGAGACCCAUCUUCGUUGGAGCAGCGUACAAGUCCAGCUGGUCGGGAAGAAGCGAUCCGAGAAAAAAAGGACUUCUUCCAAGCAGCUGCUGAGGACGAAGAGGUACGGCCCCAAAGAGAAGAUGGACGCUCAUCAAAAAAACACAAGAGGGAGAUACGCCAUGGGACCACUUGACCAGGGAAGAGCUAGGCAUCCUCUGAACGGGAUACGUCUCCAGCUUGUGACACUGGUGGUAAGCAUGUUGACGGCAGGAUAGGCCUCUUCAGGGGAGGGCCUGGGGACUAACAUUG